UCGAGAAUCUUCGGCAAUGGGCGAAAGCCUGACCGAGCGACGCCGCGUGCGGGAUGAAGGCCUUCGGGUUGUAAACCGCUGUCAGAGGGGAGGAAAUUCGCAGGGGCUAUCCCCGGCGAUUGACCUAUCCUUAGAGGAAGCACGGGCUAAGUUCGUGCCAGCAGCCGCGGUAAGACGAACCGUGCGAACGUUGUUCGGAAUCACUGGGCUUAAAGGGUGCGUAGGCGGCUGCGUAAGUCGGGUGUGAAAUCCCUCGGCUCAACCGAGGAAUUGCGCCCGAUACUGCGUAGCUCGAGGAAGGUAGGGGCGCGUGGAACUUCCGGUGGAACGGUGAAAUGUAUUGAUAUCGGAAGGAACGCCGGUGGCGAAAGCGGCGCGCUGGGCCUUUUCUGACGCUGAGGCACGGAAGCUAGGGUAGCGAACGGGAUUAGAUACCCCGGUAGUCCUAGCCGUAAACGAUGAGCACUUGGUUGAGGAGGUUCCGAUGCCUUCUCAGCCGAAGCAAAAGUGUUAAGUGUCCG
rnacentral:rRNA from 1 species